UCGCGGGUCGGCCAAAGGCAGGCUCACUGAUUUUGAAUCAGUCAAUGGACGUUCGAAUCGUCCCCCGCGAACCA
rnacentral:tRNA from 1 species